rnacentral:rRNA from 1 species
GAUGAACGCUAGCUACAGGCUUAACACAUGCAAGUCGAGGGACCGGCGCACGGGAGAGUAACACGUAUCCAACCUGCCCUUUACUCGGUGAUAGCCUUUCGAAAGAAAGAUUAAUACCCGAUAUAAAGGUUGGGGAUGCGUUCCAUUAGGUUUUUGGUGAGGUAACGGCUCACCAAGCCUUCUAUGGAUAGGGGUUCUGAGAGGAAGGACCACCAGAUUGGAACUGAGACACGGACCAAACUCUUACGGGAGGCAGCAGUGAGGGAUAUUGGUCAAUGGGCGAUAGCAUGAACCAGCCAAGUAGAGUGAAGGAUGAUGUCUUAUGGGUCGUAAACUUGUUUUAUAUAAGAAUAUGUAUUAUAUGAAUAAGGACCGGCUAACUCCGUGCCAGCAGACGCGGUAAUUC